rnacentral:rRNA from 1 species
CUAUAAGACUGGGAUAACUUCGGGAAACCGGAGCUAAUACCGGAUAAUAUUUUGAACCGCAUGGUUCAAAAGUGAAAGACGGUCUUGCUGUCACUUAUAGAUGGAUCCGCGCUGCAUUAGCUAGUUGGUAAGGUAACGGCUUACCAAGGCAACGAUGCAUAGCCGACCUGAGAGGGUGAUCGGCCACACUGGAACUGAGACACGGUCCAGACUCCUACGGGAGGCAGCAGUAGGGAAUCUUCCGCAAUGGGCGAAAGCCUGACGGAGCAACGCCGCGUGAGUGAUGAAGGUCUUCGGAUCGUAAAACUCUGUUAUUAGGGAAGAACAUAUGUGUAAGUAACUGUGCACAUCUUGACGGUACCUAAUCAGAAAGCCACGGCUAACUACGUGCCAGCAGCCGCGGUAAUACGUAGGUGGCAAGCGUUAUCCGGAAUUAUUGGGCGUAAAGCGCGCGUAGGCGGUUUUUUAAGUCUGAUGUGAAAGCCCACGGCUCAACCGUGGAGGGUCAUUGGAAACUGGAAAACUUGAGUGCAGAAGAGGAAAGUGGAAUUCCAUGUGUAGCGGUGAAAUGCGCAGAGAUAUGGAGGAACACCAGUGGCGAAGGCGACUUUCUGGUCUGUAACUGACGCUGAUGUGCGAAAGCGUGGGGAUCAAACAGGAUUAGAUACCCUGGUAGUCCACGCCGUAAACGAUGAGUGCUAAGUGUUAGGGGGUUUCCGCCCCUUAGUGCUGCACCCCUCUCCA